rnacentral:rRNA from 1 species
AACGAACGCUGGCGGCAGGCUUAACACAUGCAAGUCGAGCGCCCCGCAAGGGGAGCGGCAGACGGGUGAGUAACGCGUGGGAAUCUACCCAUCUCUACGGAAUAACGCAUGGAAACGUGUGCUAAUACCAUAUACGUCCUUCGGGAGAAAGAUUUAUCGGAGAUGGAUGAGCCCGCGUUGGAUUAGCUAGUUGGUGGGGUAAAGGCCUACCAAGGCGACGAUCCAUAGCUGGUCUGAGAGGAUGAUCAGCCACACUGGGACUGAGACACGGCCCAGACUCCUACGGGAGGCAGCAGUGGGGAGUAUUGGACAAUGGGCGCAAGCCUGAUCCAGCCAUGCCGCGUGAGUGAUGAAGGCCCUAGGGUUGUAAAGCUCUUUCACCGGUGAAGAUAAUGACGGUAACCGGAGAAGAAGCCCCGGCUAACUUCGUGCCAGCAGCCGCGGUAAGAC